AUUGAACGCUGGCGGCAUGCCUUACACAUGCAAGUCGAACGGCAGCACGGGAGCAAUCCUGGUGGCGAGUGGCGAACGGGUGAGUAAUGUAUCGGAACGUGCCCAGUCGUGGGGGAUAACGUAGCGAAAGCUACGCUAAUACCGCAUACGAUCUAUGGAUGAAAGCGGGGGAUCGCAAGACCUCGCGCGAUUGGAGCGGCCGAUAUCAGAUUAGGUAGUUGGUGGGGUAAAGGCUCACCAAGCCGACGAUCUGUAGCUGGUCUGAGAGGACGACCAGCCACACCGGGACUGAGACACGGCCCAGACUCCUACGGGAGGAAGCAGUGGGGAAUUUUGGACAAUGGGCGCAAGCCUGAUCCAGCAAUGCCGCGGGCAGGAUGAAGGCCUUCGGGUUGUAAACUGCUUUUGUACGGAACGAAACGGUGAGCUCUAAUACAGUUUGCUAAUGACGGUACCGUAAGAAUAAGCACCGGCUAACUACGUGCCAGCCGCCGCCGUAA
rnacentral:rRNA from 1 species